AGAUGCAGAAGCUUCAAAGGAGUGUGGAAAGUGUCUGGAAGGAAAGGUGUGCACCUUGGAGCUUUCCUUGGAGUGUAUCAUUGAGCUCUUUGUGUUUGGGUGGUGGGUCUUUGGAAGGAACUUGACCUUGAAGCAGAGGGCUGAGUAGGGCUGAGUAUUUGAAUGGAAGAAGAGGUGCACCUUGAGUGUGGCACUGAGAUACUAAGCAUGGAACACUGUUAUCUGCACUUAACACUGAAGAAUGAAACCCACCUGCUUCAGCAAACCACAUAGGGUGAACAAGAUCUUGAAUUACAUAGAAGGACAGAGGAGGGAAGGCCCGACACCUGACACUUGGAGAGCUUGAGCCUCAGAAUAAAACACACUGCCAUGAAUUUGAAUGAAGAUAAGAGAAGAGGACAGUGAGAGAUGCUCCAAUGAUGGCAACACGAUGUUCCACGAUAAAACUGACACAAAAAACAAUGCAAAAUUUGUCUAAGAGAGGUUCAGCAAGCAUGAGAAAAACAUCUGAUAUCUCUCAGAGCUCGCCAAGUUCGCAGCUUACAGUGCCAGAGUAAUUAUGGGAUGAUUUGAACAGAGGCAAUGCAUGAGGAAGCCACUUCCAAAUGUAUCAGGGGGCAAGGUGUCGAGAGAGAGCUGCAAACCACUAAGAACAGUGUUAUGAAUGGAGGUUUGUAUCCAGUGUGCCAUGACAGCACAAAGGAGGAAGACAUCUCUUCAUGAUAAAGUCAGGAAUCACUUCAUGGAAGAACUUACAUUGGACAUUUGAAAUCCUUACCAUGUGAACAAGGAGAAGGAAGAUAUUUUGAAUGGAAGGAUAGUGUGUCCAAAAUUGGUUCCUUCCAGUGGGUUCUUGGUCUCACCGACUUCAAGAAUGACGCCAUGGACCCUUGUGGUGAGUGUUACAGUUCUUAAAGAUGGUG